rnacentral:rRNA from 1 species
AACGAACGCUGGCGGCAUGCCUAACACAUGCAAGUCGAACGAGACCUUCGGGUCUAGUGGCGCACGGGUGCGUAACGCGGGGGAACCUGCCCUUAGGUUCGGAAUAACUCCCCGAAAGGGGUGCUAAUACAGGAGAAUGUCUUCGGACCAAAGAUCUAUCGCCUUUGGAUGGGCCCGCGUUGGAUUCGCUGGUUGGUAGGGGAAAAGCCUACCAAGGGGACGAUGCAUAGCUGGUCUGAGAGGAUGAUCAGCCACACUGGAACUGCGACACGGCCCAGACUCCUACGGGAGGGAGCAGUGGGGAAUAUUGGACAAUGGGCGAAAGCCUGAUCCAGCAAUGCCGGGUGAGUGAUGAAGGCCUUAGGGUUGUAAAGCUCUUUUACCCGGGAUGAUAAUGACAGUACCGGGAAAAUAAGCACCGGCUAACUCCGUG